UGGGGAAUUUUGCACAAUGGGGGCAACCCUGAUGCAGCGACGCCGCGUGAUUUAGAAGGCCUUCGGGUUGUAAAAAUCUUUUGUAUAGGAAGAAAAUGACAGUACUAUACGAAUAAGGUCCGGCUAAUUACGUGCCAGCAGCCGCGGUAAUACGUAAGGACCGAGCGUUGUCCGGAAUCAUUGGGCGUAAAGGGUACGUAGGCGGUUAAAAAAGUUAGAAGUGAAAGGCUAUAGCUCAACUAUAGUAAGCUUUUAAAACUGUUUAACUUGAGAGAUGGAAGGGAAAGUGGAAUUCCUAGUGUAGCGGUGAAAUGCGCAGAUAUUAGGAGGAAUACCGGUGGCGAAGGCGACUUUAUGGACAUUAUCUGAAGCUGAGGUACGAAAGCGUGGGUAGCAAACAGG
rnacentral:rRNA from 1 species